rnacentral:piRNA from 1 species
UACUAGGUAGCUAAGAGGAGCAUCCAGC